rnacentral:rRNA from 1 species
CGUAGGGUGCGAGCGUUAUCCGGAAUUAUUGGGCGUAAAGAGCUCGUAGGCGGUUUGUCGCGUCUGUCGUAGAAAGGUCCGGGGCCUUAACCCCGGAUCUGCGGUGGGUACGGGCAGACUAGAGUGCAGUAGGGGAGACUGGAAUUCCUGGUGUAGCGGUGGAAUGCGCAGAUAUCAGGAGGAACACCGAUGGCGAAGGCAGGUCUCGUGGGCUGUAACUGACGCUGAGGAGCGAAAGCAUGGGGGAGCGAACAGGAUU